GACGUAGGGUGCGAGCGUUGUCCGGAUUUAUUGGGCGUAAAGAGCUCGUAGGCGGCUCGUCGCGUCAGCUGUGAAAACCCGCGGCUUAACUGUGGGCGUGCAGCUGAUGCGGGCGGGCUAGAGUUCGGUAGGGGAGACUGGAAUUCCUGGUGUAGCGGUGAAAUGCGCAGAUAUCAGGAGGAACACCGGUGGCGAAGGCGGGUCUCUGGGCCGAUACUGACGCUGAGGAGCGAAAGCGUGGGGAGCGAACAGG
rnacentral:rRNA from 1 species